UGUCGUGAAAGUCCGGNNNNNNNNCNNCGGAUCUGCGGUGGGUACGGGCAGACUAGAGUGCAGUAGGGGAGACUGGAAUUCCUGGUGUAGCGGUGGAAUGCGCAGAUAUCAGGAGGAACACCGAUGGCGAAGGCAGGUCUCUGGGCUGUAACUGACGCUGAGGAGCGAAAGCAUGGGGAGCGAACAGGAUUAGAUACCCUGGUAGUCCAUGCCGUAAACGUUGGGCACUAGGUGUGGGGACCAUUCCACGGUUUCCGCGCCGCAGCUAACGCAUUAAGUGCCCCGCCUGGGGAGUACGGCCGCAAGGCUAAAACUCAAAGGAAUUGACGGGGGCCCGCACAAGCGGCGGAGCAUGCGGAUUAAUUCGAUGCAACGCGAAGAACCUUACCAAGGCUUGACAUGUUCUCGAUCGCCGUAGAGAUACGGUUUCCCCUUUGGGGCGGGUUCACAGGUGGUGCAUGGUUGUCGUCAGCUCGUGUCGUGAGAUGUUGGGUUAAGUCCCGCAACGAGCGCAACCCUCGUUCCAUGUUGCCAGCACGUAAUGGUGGGGACUCAUGGGAGACUGCCGGGGUCAACUCGGAGGAAGGUGAGGACGACGUCAAAUCAUCAUGCCCCUUAUGUCUUGGGCUUCACGCAUGCUACAAUGGCCGGUACAAUGGGUUGCGAUACUGUGAGGUGGAGCUAAUCCCAAAAAGCCGGUCUCAGUUCGGAUUGGGAGUCUGCAACUCGACCCCAUGAAGUCGGAGUCGCUAGUAAUCGCAGAUCAGCAAACGCUGCGGUGAAUACGUUCCCGGGCCUUGUACACACCGCCCG
rnacentral:rRNA from 1 species